UUUAAACGCAUAAUAACGACGUUCUUGUAAUGUUCCCAGUGUCACUGAAUGCAUCUCGCGGUCGUGUAGUGACAAUGAGGAAGUGUUUUUCCAACGACGAAGGGACAAAAGACGCGUUUAGUGCUACAGCUGUGAAUCCAGCAGAGGGCGCUGUCUCACAAGUCCAUCCACUGAACAUUUUCCAGCAGGAAGAUGCUUUGACAAGAGGGCGGUGGUGUGUCUAGGCCUUCCUCCAUCGGAUGCCGGAGAAAAUGGCAUGCAGGAAGUAGAGAAGUGUGGCCACGUAGGACAUCACCUGGAAACACAAUUGGAUCAGAGUCAGAAGCAGUCUGGACGGGCCAGAUGCUGCUCUGGUUUGCGCCACAGAGGAAGAUGAAGAACCAAAGCGUGGUGAAGACGAAGCAGAAGACGGACACGAACAUUACCCAGCCCAGCGGGUGGUCCGGGAAGACACGAGUGGACGCUACCAGGAUCCACACCAGACCUCCAAACACCUGCAGGGGGCGGAGUCACACAGGUUAGGGUCGGGUACUGAACACUGGUGCAAGUGAUAUAAUGUAUGUCAUGUGCCAUAAAUGCUGUCAUUGUGAAAAGCUGCUGGAUGCUGACCACUCAUGGUACUUGAAAUGCAGCUGCUGCCAUUUUGUGGCGCUAAUUAGAGAUGGUUACCCAGUGACUUUAGGCGUUAAUUGGAGCAUUCACGGCCAUUGAAUUAAACAGAGAUUAUGCCGUAAGAGUUGUUUUUCCCACUGUGUGAAAUUGGACUAGUGGCCCUUUAAGAUGACAACACCAGCAAAUGGCCAGCCUUUAAAAACACACAGAGACAACAGCCAAACUUGUUUUGUUUUUUGUGUUGUUUUUUUAAGUCAUCAUCCCUCCUUUGACAAACAUUCCCCCUGAAAGAGCCUUGGAAGAAAGUAAACACGGACACAUCGUGUUGUAACACAAUACAAUAUUAACAAUAUAGUCCUGAAAUGAAACAAAGAAGGUACGGAAAAAAGCUUAAUUGCACAUAAAAAGGCACCAUUGUUGGCACAGUGAACAAGCCCAUGUCAUGUGACUCUGCGCCUCAUCCAAUCAGCUCUCAGGGAACCGAGGCGACGUGCAGCGUUCUCACAACAUAUCAAGUGUGUCCUUUUACACAUUGCUUGUGUCGUACAAGUGUUGCUCUUUAUGAAACCAACAUGGCCGCCGCCCAAAACCUAUAUCAUUUCUGUUACCCCGAAAAAACAUAGCAAUAAGGAAAGGAUUGUGAAUUAAAUAAUAUUUGUAUGUAGAAACUGUCUAAAAUAUUUGCUGACUUUGAGGCACAUCUGGCCUAUGCAGCAAUAUGUGAGGGUCAAAGUAUUAGAAACAGCAGUAAGUGUGAUGCAUUGCACACUACAACCACAAGACAAUCGUUUUGAAUGGGCCUAUACCACCUGUAGGGAGCCUCUGGCCCUGCCUUUAAGACCAACUUGGUGGCUUUAGGGUUUGCUUUUGAAACCACACAAUGUCACUGCUAACAAUGCUAGCAUGUUGCUAGCAUGCUACCAACCUUUGUGGAUAGAUUGUGAUAACAUCGGAACAUCUCUCGCCUAAGUAGAUAGUUAGUGUUAAA